rnacentral:rRNA from 1 species
UACGGAGGGAGCUAGCGUUGUUCGGAAUUACUGGGCGUAAAGCGCACGUAGGCGGCUAUUCAAGUUAGAGGUGAAAGCCCGGGGCUCAACUCCGGAAUUGCCUUUAAGACUGCAUCGCUAGAAUUGUGGAGAGGUAAGUGGAAUUCCGAGUGUAGAGGUGAAAUUCGUAGAUAUUCGGAAGAACACCAGUGGCGAAGGCGACUUACUGGACACAUAUUGACGCUGAGGUGCGAAAGCGUGGGGAGCAAACAGG